rnacentral:rRNA from 1 species
CUACGGGUGGCUGCAGUGGGGAAUUUUGCGCAAUGGGGGAAACCCUGACGCAGCGAUACCGCGUGAGUGAAGAAGGCCUUUGGGUCGUAAAGCUCUUUUCUAAGGGAAGAUAGUGACGGUACCUUAGGAAUAAGCGCCGGCUAACUCCGUGCCAGCAGCCGCGGUAAUACGGAGGGCGCGAGCGUUGUUCGGAUUUACUGGGCGUAAAGGGCGCGUAGGCGGCCUGGCAAGUUAAGGGUGAAAUCCCGGGGCUCAACCCCGGAACUGCUCUUAAAACUGCCAAGCUAGAGAUGGUCAGAGGCGGGUGGAAUUCCAGGUGUAGAGGUGAAAUUCGUAGAUAUCUGGAGGAACACCGGUGGCGAAGGCGGCCCGCUGGGGCCAUUCUGACGCUGAGGCGCGAAAGCGUGGGGAGCGAACGGGAUUAGAUACCCUUGUAGUC